CCUUUUCUCCAUAAAGUCCUGCCUU
rnacentral:piRNA from 1 species